CAUUGCUUCUCUUAUGGAUAUAGACCAAUUCCCAAUCACUUAUACUAGUACAAGUAUAAUGUCUGUACCUGGCCCAGGUUUCAAAUAGGAUUCCAU